AUUGAACGCUGGCGGCAGGCCUAACACAUGCAAGUCGAACGAGUGGCGGACGUGUGAGUAAUGUCUGGGAAACUGCCCGAUGGAGGGGGAUAACUACUGGAAACUGUAGCUAAUACCGCAUACCAUCGGAUGUGCCCCGAUGGGUUUAGCUAGUAGGUGGGGUAAGGGCUCACCUAGGCGACGCUCCCUAGCUGGUCUGAGAGGAUGACCGGCCACACUGGAACUGAGACACGGUCCAGACUCCUACGGGAGGCAGCAGUGGGGAAUAUGGCACAAUGGGCGCAAGCCUGAUGCAGCCAUGCCGCGUGUAUGAAGAAGGCCUUCGGGUUGUAAAGUACUUUCAGCGGGGAGGCGUUACUCGCAGAAGAAGCACCGGCUAACUACGUGCCAGCCGCCGCGGUAAUAC
rnacentral:rRNA from 1 species